UAACUCCGUUGCCAGCAGCCGCGGGUAAUACGGAGGGUGCGAGCGUUAAUCGGAAUUACUGGGCGUAAAGGGUGCGUAGGUGGUUKAUUAAGUUAUCUGUGAAAUCCCUGGGCUUAACCUGGGCAKGUCAGAUAAGACUGUUUGACUCGAGUAUGGGAGAGGGUAGUGGAAUUUCCGGUGUAGCGGUGAAAUGCGUAGAGAUCGGAAGGAACACCAGUGGCGAAGGCGGCUACCUGGCCUAAUACUGACACUGAGGCACGAAAGCGUGGGGAGCAAACAGGAUUAGAUACCCUGGUAGUCCACGCUGUAAA
rnacentral:rRNA from 1 species